UUAAUACUCCCUCCGUCCCAUAAAACUUGUCCCAGGCUUGUCUUUCAAAUGGAUGUAUCUAGCACUAAUUUGAUGCUAGAUACAUCCAUAUGAGGGACAAGUUUUUUCGGACGGAGGGAGUAUCCU
rfam:Triticum aestivum genome assembly, contig: Triticum_aestivum_CS42_TGACv1_scaffold_032606_1BL